rnacentral:rRNA from 1 species
AGAGUUUGAUCCUGGCUCAGGACGAACGCUGGCGGCGUGCCUAACACAUGCAAGUCGAGCGAGUGAAUCUCCUUCGGGAGUGAAGCUAGCGGCGGACGGGUGAGUAACACGUGGGCAACCUGCCUCAUAGAGGGGAAUAGCCUUCCGAAAGGAAGAUUAAUACCGCAUAAGAUUGUAGCUUCGCAUGAAGUAGCAAUUAAAGGAGCAAUCCGCUAUGAGAUGGGCCCGCGGCGCAUUAGCUAGUUGGUGAGGUAACGGCUCACCAAGGCGACGAUGCGUAGCCGACCUGAGAGGAUGAUCGGCCACAUUGGGACUGAGACACGGCCCAGACUCCUACGGGAGGCAGCAGUGGGGAAUAUUGCGCAAUGGGGGCAACCCUGACGCAGCAACGCCGCGUGCAGGAAGAAGGUCUUCGGAUUGUAAACUGUUGUCGCAAGGGAAGAAGACAGUGACGGUACCUUGUGAGAAAGUCACGGCUAACUACGUGCCAGCAGCCGCGGUAAUACGUAGGUGACAAGCGUUGUCCGGAUUUACUGGGUGUAAAGGGCGCGUAGGCGGACUGUCAAGUCAGUCGUGAAAUACCGGGGCUUAACCCCGGGGCUGCGAUUGAAACUGACAGCCUUGAGUAUCGGAGAGGAAAGCGGAAUUCCUAGUGUAGCGGUGAAAUGCGUAGAUAUUAGGAGGAACACCAGUGGCGAAGGCGGCUUUCUGGACGACAACUGACGCUGAGGCGCGAAAGUGUGGGGAGCAAACAGGAUUAGAUACCCUGGUAGUCCACACCGUAAACGAUGGAUACUAGGUGUAGGAGGUAUCGACCCCUUCUGUGCCGCAGUUAACACAAUAAGUAUCCCACCUGGGGAGUACGACCGCAAGGUUGAAACUCAAAGGAAUUGACGGAA